GCCUUCUUCUUGGCCGAGUUAUCUAAGGCGCCACACUCAAGUUCUGCUCUUCGUGAACGUCGUGGGUUCAAAUCCCACUGCUGGCA